rnacentral:rRNA from 1 species
CCUACGGGAGGCAGCAGUGGGGAAUCUUGCGCAAUGGGCGAAAGCCUGACGCAGCGACGCCGCGUGAGUGAUGAAGGCCUUCGGUUGUAAAGCUCUGGGGGAGAAUCUCCGGUAUCUCCUUAGCAAGCACCGGCUAACUCUGUGCCAGCAGCCGCGGUAAGACAGAGGGUGCAAACGUUGUUCGGAAUUACGGGCGUAAAGCGCAUGUAGGCGGCCUGUCAGGUCGGAUGUGAAAUCCCUCGGCUCAACCAAGGAAGUGCAUUCGAAACCGACAGGCUCGAGUCCCGGAGAGGGUGAUGGAAUUCUCGGCGUAGAGGUGAAAUUCGUAGAUAUCGGGAGGAACACCGGUGGCGAAGCGGUCACCUGGACGAGACUGACGCUGAGAUGCGAAAGCGUGGGGAGCAAACAGGAUUAGAUACCCUUGUAGUC